GACGGAAGGUGCAAGCGUUGCUCGGAAUCAUUGGGCGUAAAGCGCGCGUAGGCGGCCCCGUAAGUCCGCUGUGAAAGUCAAAGGCUCAACCUUUGAAAGCCGGUGGAUACUGUGGGGCUAGAGUCCGGAAGAGGCGAGUGGAAUUCCUGGUGUAGCGGUGGAAUGCGCAGAUAUCAGGAGGAACACCAAUAGCGAAGGCAGCUCGCUGGGACGGUACUGACGCUAAGGCGCGAAAGCGUGGGGAGCGAACAGG
rnacentral:rRNA from 1 species